GGGGUGGGGUGGGGGUGGGGGGGGUGGUUGGAAGAAACCUUGCGCCGUUGCCUCAUGAGAAUCUGCUCUGUUCAACUGAAAGGGGCAUUAGGGCAGGGCACUUGCCUGGCUUCUGCAAGUUCCUAGGUUUGACCCCAGCACUGCGAUUGACAGACAGACAGACAGACAGACAGACAGCAAAAGAGACCUGCUCUGACCAGAGUUACUGGCCUUGGGACGUAAAAGCAUAAAGUGUGGUCUGGUGAUGAUUCUGUGGGUAAAAGUACUUGCUAUGGAAGCGUCCCUGGAACCCAGGGAAGGGUAGAAGGAAUGAACUGACUUCACAAGGCCUCUGACCUCCUCAAUCCUGUAGUGCACUCACAUGCCUGCAAAAACACCCCCACGCACUCACUCACACACCUUACACUCUCUCACACACAUAUAUACACACACACAUUUGCACACACCACACAUGAACCCACACCCAUACCACAUAUACCCAUAUACAUACACACACCCCACACAAUACACUCUUAUAUACCAUCCCACACACACACACUCUCUCACACACCACACAUGCACUCUCACACACAUACACACACACCCUGCACACAAUCUCAUAUACCAUACACACACAUAUUCCACAUAGACACACUUUCUUACAUACACACACUCUCUCACUCACACACAUACACAUACCAUACAGGCACACUCUCUCACAUACACACACCACACAUACCCAGACACCACACAUGCACGCUCUCACACACAUACACACACACUACACACCACUCACACACAUACACCAUACACACUCUCUUUCACAAAAACACAUACACACACAUCAGCGAUGGCAGAAUCUACUAAACUGCAUCUGCCCCAUGAUGGAGCAGGUCACUCCUGUAACCACACCAAAGGGAAAUAGGUAUUAGUGGCAGGCAAAUGACAUGUGUAAUGACAGCUGUGGCAGUACACACUCUAGUCUAUGACUGUCAGACCGUGACUCUGAGGCAGAGACAGCAGAUCUCAGGCAGCCACUGGCCGUACAAUGAGACUAUGCUUAGAAAUAAAAAUAAAAAUAAACAUAUAAGAGAGAGAGAUAUAAAAGCAAAAGCAUUCCUAGUAGCUAUUUCCAAUGCCCAAACUCUAAGUGCAACACACACACACACACACACACUCACACAUGCUCACACACAUGCUCACACACGCACUCUCACUCACACACACUCACACAUGCUCACACACAUACACACACAUGCUCACACACUCACACACACUCACACAUCCAUGCUCACGCACACUCACAC
rnacentral:lncRNA from 1 species